rnacentral:rRNA from 1 species
CUACGGGCUGCUGCAGUGAGGAAUAUUGCACAAUGGGGGGAACCCUGAUGCAGCAACGCCGCGUGGAGGAUGACGCAUUUCGGUGUGUAAACUCCUUUUAUAUGUCAAGAAAAUGACGGUAGCAUAUGAAUAAGCACCGGCUAACUCCGUGCCAGCAGCCGCGGUAAUACGGAGGGUGCAAGCGUUACUCGGAAUCACUGGGCGUAAAGGACGCGGAGGCGGGUUGGAAAGUCAGGUGUGAAAUCCUACAGCUUAACUGUAGAACUGCACUUGAAACUUCUAAUCUAGAGUAUGGGAGGGGGAGAUGGAAUUAGUGGUGUAGGGGUAAAAUCUGUAGAUAUCACUAGGAAUACCUAAAGCGAAGGCGAUCUCCUGGAACAUUACUGACGCUAAGGCGUGAAAGCGUGGGGAGCAAACAGGAUUAGAUACCCCGCGUAGUC